AUUUGAAGGAUUUAUGCAAAGUGAGUGUGUGGAAGAGUGAAGCAACAGAGCAGACUUCCUAAAGAGUUCCAUGACCAAGUGAAGGAUACAGGAAGGAAAAUUUGGUCCAGACCAACUUAAAAGAGAGUUACAUAAACUUUGGUAGAGCUAGAGGAAGAGCUAAGAGUUGCUUCUCUACAUGAUGAGAGGAGAUGGAUCUGCAUAAACUAAAUUGUUUGAGAGAAACUCUCAAAGAGGUGAGGAUAGCAGACAACAUAGCCAACAAUCUGAUGAUGAUAGUAUAUACAUGAAGUGGUUGGAGGCAUUAACAAGAAGAGAAACAUAUUUGGAUUAGGAUCUCAAGCAGCCACUAUCAAAGAAUCUUUGAAAUCCAGUGAAGUUUAGUUUUAGUUAUUUUCCGUUAUGUAUUUUCGUUAAAUCAAUUAUAUGUAUUUUUUUGUGUUGGACAACUUUAAGUCUGAUAUUAUUAUGUAGUGCCGUAGUAGCGCAUUUGAUACUUUGUAAGAAUGACAUACAUUUUUAUGUUAAUUUGCAAAUUUGGUGUCGAUUUUUUUUUU